rnacentral:lncRNA from 10 species
GCUAAAUCAAAGAUAAAAUUAAAGAACCUAUUUGUUAAAAUCAGAAAGGGCAAAGAAACCAAGAAAAAGUAUAACCAAACUUCAGUACCAUCCCAAUGCAUAUGAUCAUGCUUAUAAUUCUACCAUUUGGUCAAGGAAGACACCAGAAAGAUAAAGUCCAAAAAAGGUCAACUGAAAUUACAACUGGUGUUAAGGGGCUAACUCAGAAAUCUAGGAACCCCCUGAUCCCACUUCCAAACCCUUAGGAUAUCCCUUUAAGGUGGAAAUAUGUACAGCUGGGACAAAUUAAAGAUUAUUUUACACAGAACAGGUAUGUAAUUUGUUCUCAAAAAGAUUAACAGGCAAAAAAAAAAAAAAGGUUGACACAAUUAGAAGAAUACAAUCAAGGAUGACAGCUCCAUUAUGGGUUAGCCAGGAAUAUUAAAUAAUUUUUGGAUGCAUGGAAGAAAAUAGAGGAUCCACAGUGCCUCAGGCAGAAACAGAACAUGCAUCUCAAUAGAGCCUGCGUGAUGAAGAACUUGUUCAAUAUCAAUUGGAUAUCAUUAUCAAUAUGUAUUGAUUGGAUAUAGUUAUAUUGGAUAUGAUAUCAUAUUGGAUAUAUCAUAUCAAUAUGAUAUUGAUAUGAUAUUGAUAUUGAUAUCAUUAUCCCUCUGGAUAAUGUUAUGACAUAAUUAUUUUAGGUCUACUACUGAGGAAGGGUAAUUAAAUUUCAGACUUUUGAAUGUAAGUUGAUCACCUUGAAGAUUAAGAAGAAUUUUUUUAAUCUUACAAAUAUUGUACAGCUAGCUAGAUGUGUUUGGAUUUUUUUCCUUCUCAAGUAUCAUUGUCAGUAAAGAAAAUAUAUACCUUAAUGGAGUAGUAUUGUGGUCUAUGAACAUAAAC